rnacentral:lncRNA from 1 species
ACAAUUCCAUUGCUUCCAACAACCCAAUCGAAGCCUUAUUGGUGAAAGGGUUGAAAACAUGUCCCUAUCCCCAGAAAUUACCGACGUCGACGGCACCGACUUUCUCAAAGCCCAACUUCUCCGAAUGCCACCAAAUUAUAAUAAGGUUGUUGCUGUCGGUAAUGGUGGCGCUAAUUCAAAGCCCCCAUGGUUAGAUCAUCAUCAUCAUGAAGGCAAAACCCUACUUUGUGAUCAUGAUAACAUUAUUAAUACUUUCAAGAACCUAAUUAUAUGUGACCACGACGUCGAACCAACAGACGAAGAUGAUGAUGAUGGUGGCAUCCACACCUGCCCAAACGUGUUUGAGACCGAAAGUGAUCAGAGAAAGAAGAUACUGAUGGCCAUAAUCCGAAGGAGACAUCUCUCUGCUGCAGCGGGAAUUGGAAACAACAAAAGCAAAGUCUUUGAAAAAGAAAAACUACUGAGUCUGCUGUUGAGGUUGGAUGAGCAAAAUUAAUUGCUGGAGGUCUCAAAAUCAAAUAGGACCCUGUAGAGUCCAACACCUAGUUAAUUAGGCUCUUUAUUUCUUAUCAAUGCUUGUCUUCUAUUUUCACUGCUGUUUAAUUCAGAAUUAAUAUAUUAUCUGGCUUUCAAGAUAAUGUAGUUCCAUAAAAUCAUAAUUAUUUUUUAUUUCAAUGAAAUUUUAUAAUCCUUAUAUACUUUAUUAGAAUUUACAAUUUAACAGUUUCAUAUUCUACACUAAGUUAAUUGUUAGGUCGUGGAACCGCAAAAGUUUAACACCAAUUGUUAUAAUUGGUCUCGUUCAUCUAAUUAAUAAUAAACUAAAUGCGUGUUUUAUGCCAAAUAUUAUGAAGAUACACACUUUUUUGCAUAUCCUAGCUAGGUUUUUAAAGGUUUGGAGUUUGGACAAUUGUUUAUGCUUGGACUAGCUAGUUUGGAUGUCUUUCUCCUUUGGGCUUCUCAUUACCUCCCACAUAUCAAGAGGAGAUGUAUGUUGUUAUGGCACGUGAUUGUUUGGUCAAAUGUAGAAGCAGAGAAUUUCUGUAGGGGUCUUUUGAUUUUGUUAAUUUGAUAGAUAGAUUUCACAAAAUCCUUUUCUUGGAUUCGGCUAAAAUUAGCUAAAGAGAAGAACAAAAAUAUUGUUUUGUGGUCGGAACGGUGCAUUAAUCAAUAAGGAUGCAUGAGAAGGGGAUACUUAAUUGAUUCGGUGUAAACUAGAAGAAAAGGGAACGGAUAUAUAUGCUAAAGGGAAGCUAGAUAAAGGUUCCAAGGUUCUACAACACUCCUAGCUAAUUUAUGGGUUGAAAAUUGAUAUAGGGCGUAAGGAUAGGAAUAUGAGGUUAUUAUGAGUUAAGACUAACAUUUUACUGCAGCUUAUCACACACCUUACUGACCUAUUAGCGGAUUGUAGGUGCUCUAAUCAUUCAAUAGCUACAAUUUUGAUGUAUAACAUGCAAGAAUAAUGCAUUAUUAGGUAAAAUGCAUGUAUUGGUUUUGAAGAUGUAUUAACUGUGCUGCAAAUCUUUUUUUUUCCCCUCUAUAUCUUCCAUGGAAAGAUGGCUUUAUUCCUCAUGUAAAUUGGGUACUCGUUAUUAACCAAAUUGGCCAUGUCUCGUGCUAAAUGUGAUUGCAGUAUCUUUUUUUCCUAUAAAAAAUUAUGUUAAUAAAUAUUUUAGUAAUCAUGUUACCACACACUAUAAAUAUUAAUUUUGAUCAUUUAUGAAUAGUUGUGUAGACCAAUUGUAGUUAUUUUUUUCACAUUAAUCAAGAAAUUCUCACUUGUGACACCUCUUAUAAUGUAUAUAUAUGUGUAUAUGAGACAGGAUAAAUUGAUACAAGGUGUUAAACUUUUAUAUUUACAUCUAAUCAUUAUAUAUAAUUGAAAGGCCUUAUAAAAUUAAUAGAUUAAGUUUAUAAAAUUUUAAGUAAAUUCAAACUAAUUGAUACUUUAUCAGAUUAAUAAAUUUAUUUUGAUAGAUAAAUAAUUUAUGUGAAAUUUAAUAUACACAGAUCGUCAAUGUUGAUACAAGUAAUUAAGGAUUUGAAGUUAACUUUCAUUUUUUUUAUGGAUGUGGGGAAUCAACUAAAGGAUUCCUCUAGCAAUCAAAUUUCAUGUAUAAAAAAGAUGGUAUAUUUUUCAUGUAUCUGCAGGCUCUAAUUUGAUUUUGCACCUCCAGCUUCAGGUAAUUUUUCAAAUCCAAGAGUUCGACCUCAUCAUGUUGUUGCAUAUAUUUAUGUAGAAUCAACAUAAUUAAUCAAAGGAAAAAACUCUCAGCGAACUUCGAAACCUGAAAAUAGAGUGGUGGUACCUUGACCUGAUUGAAGAAGAGGGGCUUCUUGGUGUUAGAGGUCUCGUAUUGUGACGUGGCUCUGUAUGUAAUCUUCUGGUGCAAAAUGGCCACACCAUUCAAUCAAUAUUUCUACGUGCAAUUUGUUUUGAUAAUCGACCAUUAUUUUGAGAUGGAAUAUUGGGAAUUAGCUUUUUCAACUGUUCUACAA